UAAUACGUAGGGGGCAAGCGUUAUCCGGAAUUAUUGGGCGUAAAGGGUGCGUAGGCGGCUUUUUAAGCGCGGGGUGAAAGGCAAUGGCUCAACCAUUGUCAGCCUUGCGAACUGAGAGGCUUGAGUGCAGGAGAGGAAAGUGGAAUUCCUAGUGUAGCGGUGAAAUGCGUAGAUAUUAGGAGGAACACCAGUGGCGAAGGCGACUUUCUGGACUGUAACUGACGCUGAGGCACGAAAGUGUGGGGAGCAAACAGG
rnacentral:rRNA from 1 species